rnacentral:misc_RNA from 1 species
GAUGAAGAACGCAGCGAAAUGCGAUAAGUAAUGUGAAUUGCAGAAUUCAGUGAAUCAUCGAAUCUUUGAACGCACCUUGCACCCUUUGGUAUUCCGAAGGGUAUGCUCGUUUGAGUGUCAUUGUACUCUCACACUUCUAAUUCCUUUCGGGAUUGGGAGCGGUGGACUUGGGUGUUGCUGCUUUAGUUGUGGCUCACCUCAUAUAAGUUAGUGCAACUCUUGGUUGGACAUAGUACGGCGUGAUAAGUGUCUUCGCCGGCGCCUCUGUAAGGAGGGUGGCCGAUCGGGAGCUCUGUGCUUCAAACCGUCUUCGGACAAUCUUUGACAACUUGACCUCAAAUCGAGUAGGACUACCCGCUGAACUUAAGCAUAUCAAUAAGCGGAGGA